UUUACAUAGUGUAUCUUUGACAUGAUUUUAAUUUAUUACACUCUGGCAAUGGUAAUACGAACAGACAGAAAAAAAAGAAUGUGAGGAUUAGGUGUCUCUCUCUUAGAUCUGCUAUCUGUCAUCGCCAGGUUAACUUCUUUAUGAAUCAGUCUCCUCAGGCUGUUUUUAGAGCAGAGAGGGGAGCAUGUAUAUUUAAGCUUGUGCCGCUUUUUAAAGGAAACUUUUGCCGUGUUAACAAGAUCAUUUUCAUUACUUUGCAUUUUUGGAAUAUCUAGCCAACAGAAAGAUUUUUUUUUCAAAUAGCAGGUGUCACACUGCCGCAGCCGUCAGGAUCAUUCCCACAACAGAGAAAGCUAGCACUGAGCAGAGAAAGCUAGCACCGAGCAUGUCAGAUUAAUAAAUAUUUGACAAUAUGUUUUUUUUCCUUAGUCAUGCCAAUAACUAUUUGUCAUCAAUGAAGCAGAAGAAACCAGGUCACAGGCAGUAGUAAAGAUGAUUUAUGACAAAGUAACAGUCAGUCCUGUUUUAAUGGUUCCUUGGCCUCAUGCAAGACAAGAAAGCAUUGAUCUGGCUUUUACGACAAGUUAACCUCUCAGGAAUGAGUGUUAAUAGAUUUUGAAACAACUAUUAAUAGCAAAUAAAACAUUUAUGGCCACAGUAUUUUAUGCACGGAGCAAAAAUCAAUAGAUGUUUAAUGAAAUUUAGCUUGUGCAACUAUUAACAGCAGUUUCAGAGAUGGAUUAUUGUGGUUAGGAUUUGAGCGCUUACUGACUCAAAUGUGGAGAAAGGUUGCAGUGGCGUUUCGAAACGACCCUGGUAAAAGAGAGAAGCAAGAGAAUAGUCGCUAGCAGAUUGCUGCAUCUGGUGUUGGCCUCUCUUGUCACUGAAAUGCCAGUCCUCACGGUUGCUAUGCCGCUGUAUCAAAGCGGAGGAUGGCGCAUGGGAAGGAUUGUGGGAAUGUAAAGCUGCACAGCAAACAGAGGGUCACCCAGCCAGAUUCAAACAAACUCGUCUAGCACUCCUAUUCAUUCAAAAGUUCAAUCAGUCACCAUGGAUACCUUCUCUCCUAAUGAGUUACAAAUGUUUCAGUUGAUGUUGAUUGAAUUGUUUUACCAGCCAAGGAUGUUUAUUGGAGUCACUGGGAUUUGAACUGGCUGUGAUGGAUAAGCUUUUUCUAUUGUUCUUGGGUUUUUAGCAUGUGUAAUAUUAGAGAAGUUACAGACUAAUUUGUUUAAAUCCUUUCUUUCUUUAUACAGAAAAGGCCUUGUUUAAAGUCUAAUUACACUAAAACAAAUUAGUGCAGAAACCAAAUUUUAGCUUAUUUCACACAAAAACCUAACUCAAAUUCACGGUAUAUGCAUUUUGUCAUUCUGUUCUUAGUGACGAAUUAUCAGUUGAUGUGUUGUUCAUUUUCCAAGUAUGCAAAUACAAUACAAAAAUAAUUGGAAAAUAAAAAUACUCUUUCAGUCUUUUGAUUAGAAUUUUUUUUUAAUUAUUUGUGAUAUUAACAGCAAUAUCUGAGUCGAAGUAGCUUCAGAUAAAUCCUACACCAAAUUGGUGUUGUAAAUAUGUUUGUGUCUUGCCAUGUGACCCCAUUUAAGGUCUUCACUUUGUGUUGACAUGUACGUUUCGGUUACAUCUUGGAAACAUUUUCUGUGGGGGAAAGAAAAAAACCUUAAACCUUUCUGUUAUUGAACGUUUAGUCAGAUUUAGCCCUGUCAAAAACUGUUAAAAAUGACUCUGCUCAUUUAACCCAGAAUUCCUUCCUUGGUGGCUUGUCUGUCACCAAUUAUAUCUCUCUGUUUAUUCUUUGACAAGUUAAUUCACAUGCAUGUGGACCGACAGUGAAGGCUUGUGGAUCUUUCCCAUCACACUUAAAACACAGCCGACCACCCUCUCCUCUCUCAAGUAGGCUUUUCACAGAGGCUUUAGGAAACUGUUUAAGGUAUUUGCCCUUUUUUCAUCUAUUCAACUGCAGCAGGCAAAUCCUGGGAGGCAGAACCUGUUGAUAUCCCAUAAGGGGCUUAUAUGACUCAUCGUAGCCUAGAUGCAACAUGCUUGUUAUUUGAACAGCUGCAUCUCCACUCCACACUUUUAUCAGGCCCAUUGUGAUCCUGCCAUCCUGCGCUUUUCCUACUUGUUCGGAAAGCUCUUGACAAACCUACCAAAAAUUGGUCAUAGAACAGACGGCUAGACAGUUUUUUGGGUGGAGGCUCGGUACUAAGGUGAUUGUGAUUCUCAUUGCGCUUCAGUGUUUCGAGAUGAAGAUCUGGUGUUGUUGGACUUCGUUCAGAAGUAUUAGAAAUCGCUUGCACUAAGCUGUUAUUUAACGGCAGCUUGAUGGAUGAGGCGCACACACGUACCUCCUCACACCUCAUCUGGCCGAAUGCAUUCCUCAUGCAAUUAGUCCUUCUGAAGUUGCUUAUUAGUUGGAUCUCUUCUUUGUGGAUAAGUCCUUUCACUGAACUGUCACAGCUCCUGGACAAGCCUCUCCAAUCCACAGCCAUUUACAAAUGAAUGGGGCACCAUGCAAACCAAACAGAGCACAUCCUUUUCCUGCUCUUUCACAUCUUUGGUGAAAAGGAGGGGGGAAAACUCAAUUUGUAUUUGCGCAGACCAUAAACAAACAUCGGUCAGAUCAAAUGAGGCAUUCAGAGCCUGAAGAAAGGUCAGAGAGAAAGGGGAGGGAGAGAUAGAAGAGGGAUUGAAGGAGGUGCAGAAUGGAACUCUCCCAGUGCCAAUUCACAAGCUCUGGGCUUUUAUGAGGGUGUCAGUUCUGUUGUCAGACUGACGAUGUAGAGAAACAAGUCAAUGUGAGGGCGGAGGACAGCACACCUUCCUCAGGUACCUGCAAUGUGACCGUAAACUAACCAGCACCUUUAGAGACUGCCGGGGCCACAGCCAAAGCACCUUUCCCGCAUGAAACCUAGAGCGCCAGUGGUUCUGCAAAGUUUUUUAUGACGAACAGAGAGUUCCUUCAAAGAGAACUCAAGUUCUUCAAAAGAGCAUUCAAUUGCAUGCACUGUUCAAGAGAUGACUAUGGCUACAUAAAAUUAAUGAAAUUCUAAGUUGGAAAAAAUCAUUAGCAUGGCAUGAGUUAUAAUUAUGAGAAGUCUUUUGUAUGAUAUGAGAAAUAAUAACCAUGAUAUGGUUUUGCAUUGUCUUGCUGAAAUACACAAGGCCUUCCCUGAAAUAGACUUCGUCUGGAGGGGAACAUAUGUUGCUUUAAAACUUUACCUACCUUUUAGAAUUCAUAGUGCCUUCCAUAACAUGCAAGCUGCCCAUACCCUAUGCGCUUAUGCACCCCCAUACCAGCGUGAUAACACACUGGAAGGAAUUAAGAUAAUUUCCAACAAGGAUAUAAAAUUUGGACUUGUCUGACCAUAGAACACUUUGAAACGGUUCAUUUUAAAUGUGCAGAUCUGCAAAUGGCACCGCAGACUGUGUUUGCCGACUGUGGUUUCUGAAAGUAUUCCUGGGCCCAUUUAUUAACGUCAAUGACAGAAUCAUGUUGAAGAGUGAUGCAGUCUGAGGGCCUUGAAGAUCACAGGCUUCCAACACCUACGGCCUUGUCCCUUACGCACAUUUCUGCAGUGUCUCUGAAUAUUUUGAUGAUGUUGCCCUUUGCAAUUUGAUGUUGAGAAAUGUUUUUUUUUUUUUUUUUUUUUUUUUAAUUAUUACACAGUAUUUUUACACAUCUUUCACUGAUUGGAGAGCCUCUGCCUCUCUAAGACAUCCCUUUUAUAGCUAAUCAUGUUACAGACCUGAUGUCUGUUAACCUAAUUAGUCGCUAGAUGUUCUCCUAGCUGAAUCUCUUAAAAAAUCUUUUCCUUUUAGCCCUCUGCUGCCCCCGUGCCAACUUUUUUGAGACUUGUAGCAGGCAGCAAAUUUGAAAUAAGCUCUUUAAGUAGACAAAAGUGUAAAAUUUCACUUUAUCUAACCAUCUGUCUGUCAGACAGAUGGACGUCUGGAGGCCUGGUUGGUCCAUUAAUUUGAAUAUAUUCAUGUUCGCGAUAUAAAAAAAAUCUGCUUUUAACCAUUCUUAAACAGUUAAUCUUUCUAAUCUUAGAUAUAUUCAUCUAUUUUAAUUAAAAUUGGUUUCAAUUUAAAUAUAGGAACAUUUCUGGCUUCAUAGCUGACUAAAAACUACUUUUCCCAAAACUCUCAGCAGUGGAUGACAUCACUCUGCGUGUUUGUCUAAGUGCUUCAGUUGAAGCAGUCAGUCCAGCAGCCGAUGGCUGUCACAGUCGCCUGCCAAACACACUCCAUAUUCACAAUGCAGUUUAAUUAAUGACAUCACUAAAAGGUUUGGUGCAAUGAAGUUUGCAUCUAGUUCAAUUUCCUAAGUGCCUCUGUAUCCCUUUCUAAGCAACAGCAACAGAGUGAGCCAUCAAUAAUGCACCCCCAAAAGAGGAGGCCAGCUACAGCGAGCGGCACCAAACUCAGUAGAUGGGAUUGUCAAAAUGAGAAGAUCCGUACAGGAUCCAGGUGACGGAUGAAGAGCGAACAGUAAUUCACCUCAUUAGUCCUUCAAAGAGCAGAGCAGAGUUUAAUCAGGACUCUCAGAGAUAAUGUGCUGGAAAAGGAGACCAGCCGCUCUUGGGUGUGCAGUGAUUUAUAAAAGUGAUUUUCUGCCAGACUGAUGCCUGAGGUCUGAGGUCUUGUGAAGCCCUCAAGUGGUGAGGCCUCUCCAUCCCUCUGAUGAAGCACUUAGCCCACUUCUAUUUAUAGCAGCAAGAGCGGCACGAUCGAUUAUUCAACCUGACUCUGAUUCUGCCUUCUCAUGAACUGUUAUUCAAUAACCACGGAUAAAAUUAGACAUUGCCAUCCUGAGGGGACAAAUGGCACUGAGCGAAAGAGAGAGAUUGUAGAAUGUAUGGCUGUGAAUAGCAGGUCGAGAUUUCCUUGUCUCGAUAGGCUGCAGUCGAAAAAACUUCUGCAUCCUGCACAGCUGGACAGCAGUACCUGGAUGUGUAGCUAACAUGAAGCAGCACUUCCUCUGUUUCGCUUUUCAUUGCGGAAACGGCUACGAGAAAUAAACAAGGCACAGACAGACAUAAAAGAGACUGGAGUUAAUGGUUACCUCUGCUGCACUCUUGUCUAAUCAUGCCCCUUUAUCAGUAUAAAAAUACAAAUUCCCAUUGCCAAAAUGACGGUUGCCUUUUCCUUUAAGCUGGCAGUAAAUUUUAUUGAAACAACUGAGAUGAUUAACCUCUGAUAGUAUCCUAAUGGAAACUCUCUGGCACCUCGCACACGGAUUAAUGCCAAGAGGAACCUCCAAUUCAUAAUUUUUAUUUGAAAUGGGACACCCAUCUGCAUACGGACUGAUGGGUUUGGACAGGGCACUUGCUGUUGAACCGCUAACAGGCUUAGCUUAAUGAGAUGCAGAUGAAUGUCAGUGACAAGGCUUAAGACCAGCACCUGUUGUCUGAGGUGCCCUUCAUGUCACAUACCACAAAUGUCGUUUUUUUGUAUCUGGCACUAAUAAUCUAAACUCCAUUGAUGUUAUGUUAAUAACAAGCAAGUCUGCCUAUUUAUGUAUUUUUAUUUUCUGAUAGUUUAAAUAAUUGAAUCAUGUUUAUUUGUUAUCCUCAUUACUGGAGUUAUCACUUACACUCAUUUCUAGCCUAUAACUCUUCAGCGUUUGAAGUGCAGUGGGCUGGCAGUAAAUGAACUCGGUGCACCUGCGAGGCGCAAUACAACAACAAGCCAGCAGAGGGAGCCAAUGAUAGAAAAAAAACAUAAUAAUAAUAAUAAAGCGAUUUAA